AGUGAACGCUGGCGGUAGGCUUAACACAUGCAAGUCGAACGGCAGCACCGUAAGAGCUUGCUCUUACGGGUGGCGAGUGGCGGACGGGUGAGGAAUACAUCGGAAUCUACUUUUUCGUGGGGGAUAACGUAGGGAAACUUACGCUAAUACCGCAUACGACCUACGGGUGAAAGCAGUGGAUCUUCGGACCUUGCGCGAUUGAAUGAGCCGAGGUCGGAUUAGCUAGUUGGCGGGGUAAAGGCCCACCAAGGCGAAGAUCCGUAGCUGGUCGGAGAGGAGGAUCGGCGACAGGGGAAAUGGGGAACGGUCCAGAGUCCUAAGGGAGGCAGCAGGGGGGAGUGUGGAACAAUGGGCGAAAGCCUGAUCCAGCAAGAACGCGUGGGGGAAGAAGGCCUUCGGGUUGUGAAUCCCUUUUGUUGGGAGAGAAAGGCAACGGGGUAAUUCCGGGCUGUGCUGACGGUACCGAGUGAAGAAGCACCGGCUAACUACGUG
rnacentral:rRNA from 1 species